rnacentral:rRNA from 1 species
GAUGAACGCUGGCUACAGGCUUAACACAUGCAAGUCGAGGGGAAACGACGGGGAAGCUUGCUUCCUUGGGCGUCGACCGGCGCACGGGUGAGUAACGCGUAUCCAACCUGCCUCUGACUGAGGGAUAACCCGUCGAAAGUCGGCCUAAUACCUCAUGGCAUCGUCUGCGGGCAUCCAACGACGAUUAAAGAUUUCAUCGGUCAGGGAUGGGGAUGCGUCUGAUUAGCUUGUUGGCGGGGUAACGGCCCACCAAGGCAACGAUCAGUAGGGGUUCUGAGAGGAAGGUCCCCCACAUUGGAACUGAGACACGGUCCAAACUCCUACGGGAGGCAGCAGUGAGGAAUAUUGGUCAAUGGGCGGGAGCCUGAACCAGCCAAGUAGCGUGCAGGAAGACGGCCCUAUGGGUUGUAAACUGCUUUUAUGCGGGGAUAAAGUGAGGGACGUGUCCUUUCAUUGCAGGUACCGCAUGAAUAAGGACCGCUAAUUCC